UACGUAGGUGGCAAGCGUUAUCCGGAAUUAUUGGGCGUAAAGCGCGCGCAGGCGGUUUCUUAAGUCUGAUGUGAAAUCCCUGGGCUCAACCCAGGAAUUGCAUUGGAAACUAGCGGGCUGGAGUUCGGGAGAGGGUAGUGGAAUUCCUGGUGUAGAGGUGAAAUUCGUAGAUAUCAGGAGGAACACCGGUGGCGAAGGCGGCUACCUGGACCGAUACUGACGCUGAUACACGAAAGCGUGGGGAGCAAACAGG
rnacentral:rRNA from 1 species